AACGAACGCUGGCGGCAUGCCUAACACAUGCAAGUCGAACGAAGCCUUCGGGCUUAGUGGCGCACGGGUGCGUAACGCGUGGGAAUCUGCCCUUUGGUUCGGAAUAACAGUUGGAAACGACUGCUAAUACCGGAUGAUGACGAAAGUCCAAAGAUUUAUCGCCAGAGGAUGAGCCCGCGUAGGAUUAGCUAGUUGGUGUGGUAAAGGCGCACCAAGGCGACGACCCUUAGCUGGUCUGAGAGGAUGAUCAGCCACACUGGGACUGAGACACGGCCCAGACUCCUACGGGAGGCAGCAGUGGGGAAUAUUGGACAAUGGGCGAAAGCCUGAUCCAGCAAUGCCGCGUGAGUGAUGAAGGCCCUAGGGUUGUAAAGCUCUUUUACCCGGGAUGAUAAUGACAGUACCGGGAGAAUAAGCCCCGGCUAACUCCGUGCCAGCAGCCGCGGUAA
rnacentral:rRNA from 1 species